UCGUGGCACCAACCGGUACCAAUGCCCCCCUUUAGUCCCGGUUUGUGGCACCAACCGGGACUGAAGGUGGGCUUUGGUACCGGUUCGUGCCACGAA
rnacentral:pre_miRNA from 1 species